UGCCAACUUGAAGAAGAGUGGCCUUGAAGGA
rnacentral:piRNA from 1 species